rnacentral:lncRNA from 1 species
AAUCCAGCCCACGGCAUUCAAAGGCUGAAGGGCCACCUGACACUCCAGAGGCUGCUGGAAAUGCAGGGCUGUUUCAUCCUGGGGUGCUGUUAAUUUUCUUGUGGAGAAGGAACUGUCUUUAGAAAAAUAUCUCAAAAAGCCACUGAAGUAGAAAGUUUCAGCAUGCUGAAGAUGGAACUUGAGAAGAUAGAAAGUUCUGGGUCCUUAGUGGCAUGACUGAGUCGCUGGACCACUGUUGGAACCACCCUAUGUCUUAGUUUUUAAAUCUCUUUACUGUCUAAGACAUUUUUAGUGGAAGUAUUUAUCUCUGGCAUCCAAUAAGACCUUUAAGGAUUUGCAGUUUUAUCUAUGUGUUUGUUUAUUGUCUGCUCCACCCUACUUGAUUGUGAUCACCAUGACAUCAAUGACUGUGCAUCUUUUGUUCACUCAGGAAUAUCCAGUGCCUGCCACGCAGAGUGUGCUGCAUGUACAUGCUCACUUGAUAUCUGUUGUAGCAAAGAGUGAAAGAGAGAAGGAAUAAAUGCUUUCUCCCAUGAUGAGGGGACAUGGGGUCCAGACAAGCUGGACCAUUAUCCCAGGCCCAGCGCUCUGCUUUAUUUUUUUUUUUCCAGUACAGCAUCACAUUCAGUUACAACAGAGUGAAAUCUCCUAAGAACACGGCUGAUUAUUUCUUGAUUGCAAAAAGGACUCACUAACCCUCCGAUCUCCUGUAACGCAAGUCAAUGCUCUUCUAAUCUCCUUUUAGACAGCACCUGUACUUGUCAGUCAACGCAUGGUAGUCUGGGCUAGCCAAGUGAAUCCUUAACUAAACUGAAGUGGUGCUGAUCAUUCAGCCUUCAGAAUUGAAAAAAUCACAGCAUUGCUGAAGGAAAAGGCAUUUUUCAGGUAGAGAGGCAUAAGUCUUGGGCCAGGAAGCUUCAGUAAGAAGACAAUAAUUUCAUAGAAAUGCAUUAGCUUGGGGAGUCCAACUGCUGUUCUUGCACCUAAGAAAUUCAGAGGAGAGCUCUUUGCUUCCUUGCUCAUUCCAGUGGUUAGGAGUCAGGCC